rnacentral:rRNA from 1 species
UUCCGGUUGAUCCUGCCGGACCCGACUGCUAUCAGAGUGGGACUAAGCCAUGCGAGUUAACGUAGCAAUACGUGGCAUACGGCUCAGUAACACGUAGUCAACAUGCCCAGGGGACGUGGAUAACCUCGGGAAACUGAGGAUAAACCGCGAUAGGUCAUGAUUUCUGGAAUGAUUCAUGGCCCAAAUCUAUAUGGCCCCUGGAUUGGACUGCGGCCGAUCAGGCUGUUGGUGAGGUAAUGGCCCACCAAACCUGUUACCGGUACGGGCUCUGAGAGGAGGAGCCCGGAGAUGGGCACUGAGACAAGGGCCCAGGCCCUAUGGGGCGCAGCAGGCGCGAAACCUCUGCAAUAGGCGAAAGCCUGACAGGGUUACUCUGAGUGGUUUCCGCUAAGGGAACCUUUUGGCACCUCUACAAAUGGUGCAGAAUAAGGGGUGGGCAAGUCUGGUGUCAGCCGCCGCGGUAAUACCAGCACCCCGAGUGGUCGGGACGAUUAUUGGGCCUAAAGCAUCCGUAGCCGGUCCUGCAAGUCUUCCGUUAAAUCCACCUGCUUAACAGAUGGGCUGCGGGGGAUACUACAGGGCUAGGAGGCGGGAGAGGCAAGCGGUACUUUAUGGGUAGGGGUAAAAUCCG